GUGGUUGCUGAAAAUUACAAUUAGACGCCCACCGGAGCCGUGACACGAUUGCGCCGACAAUAAGCACGGAUAAUAAACCAAGCGAACCUUCGGAAGCUGCUAAACGGCAAUAAAAGUAAUUGAUUUACGUACACGCAUAGCUGCUGGCAAAGAGGGCAAAGAUGAGAGGCUGUAAUGCUCGUUUGGGUCACUACAAGGGUAGCAGUGUUACGGUGAAGAGAUCCAAACGACAACCACCUGUCUUACCACGAUUUGCUUAUGAAACCAGUCGUCAAAACCGUUUCAGGGCAUUUGCUUCAUUGCGCCGCCAACGUGUCCAAUACACACCAGAAAUUAUUGCCAUGCGCACUUUUUUGUGGUAUUUCCUGUUGUUCUACGUGUGGUUGUUCUACAAAGCUUACACCUGUAAGUAAGCUGCACCCUGUUCAUCAUUAUCCAUUCAGCUGUAUACGAUUGAACACCGCUCAACAUGUAUUGGAAAUGAAUUAUCGGUAACAAUACACUGUUAUCACAGUAACA